rnacentral:rRNA from 1 species
AUUGAACGCUGGCGGCAUGCCUUACACAUGCAAGUCGAACGGCAGCACGGGUGCUUGCCCCUGGUGGCGAGUGGCGAACGGGUGAGUAAUACAUCGGAACAUGUCCUGUAGUGGGGAUAGCCCGGCGAAAGCCGGAUUAAUACCGCAUACGGUCUACGGAUGAAAGCGGGGGACCUUCGGGCCUCGCGCUAUAGGGUUGGCCGAUGGCUGAUUAGCUAGUUGGUGGGGUAAAGGCCUACCAAGGCGACGAUCAGUAGCUGGUCUGAGAGGACGACCAGCCACACUGGGACUGAGACACGGCCCAGACUCCUACGGGAGGCAGCAGUGGGGAAUUUUGGACAAUGGGCGAAAGCCUGAUCCAGCAAUGCCGCGUGUGUGAAGAAGGCCUUCGGGUUGUAAAGCACUUUUGUCCGGAAAGAAAUCCUUGGCUCUAAUACAGUCGGGGGAUGACGGUACCGGAAGAAUAAGCACCGGCUAACUACGUG